AUAAAUCUCAUCCACCGUCUGCAAGAUCAAAUCAUAAGGCAAAAAAUGAAAACAAAGUUUCAGUAGUUUAAAUAUUGUUUGGAUUGAAGGAUCAUAAAUGAUCUUUGAUUUCAUCAAUGCAAGCAUGUGACAACUACAUAGAUUAAAAGGGAAAAUUUAAGAAAGAACUCCACUGUUUGUGAAAGAAUCAAUCCAGUUGUCUUUGCAAAUGGUAUCAGAUGGUAACAGUUGACUGAUGUUAAUACGAGAUGUUAGGAGAAUUCUUAUUGACUACAUUUUUAUAGUUUUUAAUUCCUUUCUAGAGCUUACAUAGCGCUGUCUGUAUCUGUUUCAAAAUUAAUUUGUUUAGGCCAUGAAUGCCUAAAUAGAAACACCUGGUUGCAUCUCAAGGAGACCAUGAAUGUUUAUGUUGAAACCAAACCUGUGGAGGAAUGUUGGUCAUCUCAAAAUAUCCACCCCGCUGUCCACAUUCACCCCAAUAUCCUUUGGACACAGUGUGGAAGGAAACGAGUUGGAUUUCCUUGCUUAUUGGCGGCCCCAUAUCCAUCAAA
rnacentral:misc_RNA from 1 species